CAGCCGCCGCGGUAAUACGUAGGUGGCGAGCGUUGUCCGGAAUCAUUGGGUGUAAAGGGAGCGCAGGCGGUCCGGCAAGUUGAGAGUGGAAGCAGGGGGCUCAACCCCCUGACUGCUCCCAAAACUGUUGGACUGGAGUAUGGGAGAGGCAGGCGGAAUUCCUAGUGUAGCGGUGAAAUGCUCAGAUAUUAGGAAGAACACCGGUGGCGAAGGCGGCCUGCUGGACCAAAACUGACGCUGAGGCACGAAAGCGUGGGGAGCAAACAGGAUUAGAGACCCGAUAGUCCCUGUCUCUUAUACA
rnacentral:rRNA from 1 species